GAGGACUGAAGUUUCUCGCAAUUAAAAUUUAUCAGUUUUACUUUCUGCUCUCUGGAAACGCCUGCUUCUUUUUUACCUGAGAGCAUUUUUUCGCAUUCUGAUUUCGUUAGUUUAGAUUUUGAAUAUCUUGUCCAGUUAGUAGGAGUGCCACCUUCCUUUUCAAUAGUGGCGGUAAUUUU
rfam:Escherichia coli str. K-12 substr. MG1655, complete genome.